rnacentral:rRNA from 1 species
GUGGACUCUCAAGCGUGAGGUAAGGGCAAUUCGUGGAUGCCUUGGCAUGUACAGGCGAUGAAGGACGUGGCACGCUGCGAUAAGCGUCGGUGAGGUGUGAGCAACCUUUGACCCGACGAUUUCCGAAUGGGGAAACCCACCUAUCCGUUUAAUCAGCUGAGCCGCUGGGCGGCACGCUUCAUGCGUGUCGCCUCGGGGCGCAGGUGGUUAGGCGGACAAGGUAUCUUGAGACUGAAUACAUAGGUUUCGAGAAGCGAACCCGGCGAACUGAAACAUCUCAGUACCCGGAGGAAAAGACAUCAACCGAGAUUCCGUUAGUAGUGGCGAGCGAACGCGGACCAGGCCAGUGCCUGGAUUUCAACUAGCAGAACGCUCUGGAAAGAGCGGCCAUAGCGGGUGACAGCCCCGUAUGCGAAAGUGAUGAUCCAGGACUCGAGUAGGGCGGAACACGUGUAAUUCUGUCUGAACAUGGGGGGACCACCCUCCAAGCCUAAAUACUCGUACAUGACCGAUAGCGAACUAGUACCGUGAGGGAAAGGUGAAAAGCACCCCGAUGAGGGGAGUGAAACAGUACCUGAAACGGAUUGCCUACAAGCAGUUGGAGCCCUUUUAUGGGGUGACAGCGUACCUCUUGCAUAAUGGGUCUGUGACUUAAUCUGUCAAGCAAGCUUAAGCCGUUAGGUGUAGGCGCAGCGAAAGCGAGUCUGAAUAGGGCGAAUGAGUUUGACGGAUUAGACCCGAAACCCGGCGAUCUAGGCAUGACCAGGAUGAAGGUGGGGUAACACCCACUGGAGGUCCGAACCGAUUAACGUUGAAAAGUUACCGGAUGAGUUGUGUUUAGGGGUGAAAGGCCAAUCAAGCCGGGAAAUAGCUGGUUCUCCGCGAAAACUAUUGAGGUAGUGCCUCGGAUGGACACCUUAUGGGGUAGAGCACUGGAUGGUUGCGGGGGUCGCGAGAUCUACCAAUACUAACCAAACUCCGAAUACAUAAGAGUGAUAUCCGGGAGACAGACGGCGGGUGCUAAGGUCCGUCGUCAAAAGGGAAACAGCCCUGACCUACAGCUAAGGUCCCCAAGUCGUGUCUAAGUGGGAAAGCAUGUGGGAAUCCCAAAACAACCAGGAGGUUGGCUUAGAAGCAGCCAUCCUUUAAAGAAAGCGUAACAGCUCACUGGUCUAAACAAGGGUUCCUGCGGCGAAGAUGUAACGGGGCUCAAGACACGCACCGAAGCUUAGGGUGUGGAUUUAUAUCCACGCGGUAGCGGAGCGUUCCGUACGCCUGUGAAGCGAUCUGGUAAUGGGUCGUGGAGGUAUCGGAAGUGCGAAUGCAGACAUGAGUAGCGAUAAAGAGGGUGAGAUGCCCUCUCGCCGAAAGACCAAGGGUUCCUGCGCAAGGCUAAUCCGCGCAGGGUGAGCCGGCCCCUAAGACGAGCCCGAAGGGGGUAGUCGAUGGGAACCACGUUAAUAUUCGUGGGCCUGGUGGUGUGUGACGGAUGGCGUGUGUUGUCGGAUCUUAUCGGAUUGAUCCGGCUUCGAAGCUGUCCCGGGAAAUAGCCCCACCGUAUAGACCGUACCCGAAACCGACACAGGUGGUCAGGUAGAGUAUACCAAGGCGCUUGAGAGAAGUGUCCUGAAGGAACUCGGCAAAUUGCCUCCGUACCUUCGGAAGAAGGAGGCCCCAUGUAAGCGCAAGCUCUCAUGGGGGGCACAGGCCAGGGGGUAGCGACUGUUUAGCAAAAACACAGGGCUCUGCUAAGUCGGCUUCAAGACGACGUAUAGGGCCUGACGCCUGCCCGGUGCCUGAAGGUUAAGUGGAGGGGUGCAAGCUCUGAAAUGAAGCCCAGGUAAACGGCGGCCGUAACUAUAACGGUCCUAAGGUAGCGAAAUUCCUUGUCGGGUAAGUUCCG